UAGGGGUGCAGCAGGAGGAAUGGUGGGGAUCCCCGACCAGAGGGGACAGAUCGAGGCCACGAAGCCACGGGGAAAAACGCACGUGGAGGGCCAAGGUGCAGGUAUCCAGAGCUGAGAGGUAGGCGGAAGGAGCCGAGCCACAGGCAUCCAGCCUCGACCUCCAGAGGAGGCCUGGGCUUACCCUCCUGCCUGGCGAAGCCGGUUGGGACGGCUGCGGGAGCAGCCUAGCCUUCCCCACGGUCGUGGCCCUCCACGUGUCCUCCGUUGUCUCUUUGCCCAAAGACUCUGCUCUUACCUGGAAGCCUGUGCUAAGGAGGGACAGCCCCAGGUGGGCAUGCAGCCAGCCAGGUCCCAGCAAGAAGUCGUCAACCUGGUCUUCCGAUACUGGCAAGGUGUGCUUCGGUGGCUCGUACCUCAAGCUUCCAUUUGGUCCUCAUAACAGCACCAUCGUUAAAUUCACAUUUGGCUACUUAUUGCCCACCAACCGCUGUGCUAAGAAACUUACGUGGAUUACCUCCUGAAAUUCAACAAUGGUUCAUCAUUUCGUGGCUGAGAAAACUGAAGCUCGGCCAAUUUAAUUAAGCUUCCCAGGGUCACAGAACCGGACUGUUCUGGAAGGAUGAUGUCACUCAAGAUGUAAAGCCCCAGAAGAUGGAGCACAUGCCCAGGCUCCACGCCUCGAAGUCCUAUGUGAGGGAUGGGUAGGCGGCCUUUCCCACCAAAACCACUACGCUGAGAGACCGGUGAGCAAGGUGAACAAGGAACAAUGCUUGAAGUCUGAAAUGUUUUUGCCAAGAGACAACCAACCACAGCAAGGCCUCGCUGCAGGUGAGGGCCGGGCCUUGUCCAGAAACACUGAGCCCACCAAGAGCCUGUUUACAGAGGGAGACGGGAUGAAGAGGGGAUAGACGUUGGUUGGUAAGAAGUGAUUUCACUGAGCCUGAUGGAGAACCUUCUGGAAGAGAGGGCCUGGAGGAUGGAAGAGAACAGAGACAGCCCAAUCUUCACUCUGCCACUGCCCAGCUGCGACCUCAGACACAUUACCUAGGCUCUUCAAGUCCCUUCUUCCACAUCUGGAAAAUGGGAACGGUAAUAAAUACAACCCCUCUGGUGUUG